rnacentral:tRNA from 1 species
GCUUGUAAGGCCAUAUUGGUAUUGGUGCUACCCUUGUAAGGUUGUUGUUGGGGGUUCGAAUCCCCCUGCAAGCU